ensembl:lncRNA
AGUUUCUUUAGAAACACGAGUUAGGGUCCCACCACCACCAUCCCGGCUCCCUCCGGGCAGCAAACAACCAGUAAACAGGCUCUUCCUUAAAAGCUGGCGGAAAAUUCCCACUUGGAGGAAACAUCUUAGGUGUGGAGAGUUCUUCCAGCCAAAGGAUUAUAAUUGGUCUCAGCCUACUAUUACAGAGACAAACAACUUUUGCACCGCCCCGCUUGGGAAAAUGCUCUCCCAGUCUCAAGAAAAUUGAUCGAGCCAGUUUAACAAUAAGGUUGGCAGCGGUGGGAUUCGAACCCACGCCCCCGAAGAGACUGGAGCCUUAAUCCAGCGCCUUAGACCGCUCGGCCACGCUACCGUACAUACGAUAGCCUAAAACUCUUCCUGAUAGUUUAAAAGGUACAAGACUGUUCUUGCACGUGUUAUUUUCUUCUAGAGCCUUUUGUGCUCUGUUUCUGAUACCCGAGGGUAAAGGGAGAGGCAGCCAACGCUCAACAUCCAUCAAACUCGAAAGUAAUUAGCCCUUGACAAAAUGAUCGGAAUUCACCACCGCCGACGCAGCACCGGAACUCUAAGGAUGCUGAGAUCAAGAGUCGCCAAUUUGUCAGCUGCGUUUGGGGAUCGGCAGCGGGAAGUCAUUUCUAAUGUCCGCAACCAGAAAACAGAGGAGCUCCCUUCCUGCUCACCCGGAACUCCGUUCCUGGUUGCUGUGUCUGUGUGUGAAUUCUUGUUGUGAAAGUCGUGGAAGGAAACAACUUCGCAAACAGGCCUACUUUUUUUUUUGCUGAACAUGGUCACGGUCUUCAUUUACAAAGUUCAGGGAGGUAAUCAGUUUGCAUUUGGCGCGGAGCAUCGCAUUCUCUCCGUACUCGCAGAGGACGCGUCCUGCCCUCUCUUACCCCUUGAACGCGAGCUGGGCGGGUCCCUUGGCCCAGGUCUCGGCUUCCAGACCGCUCAUCCUCUCUCUCAGUCCCGCCUGAUCCAUAAGAUGCUGCCUCUUUUGAGCGAGCCCCAGUUCCACCUUUUCAAAUCCCAGCGGCUCCACUUAACAGCCAUAAACCCAUUGGCGAGUCACUUAAGCUUAUCGGGUAUCACUUUCUUCAUAUGUAAAAUGGUG